UAGCCAUGGUGCGGGCACUGGUUCAACAGAUCCUUGAAUCUUUCCCAAAAUUGAUAAAACAUUUCAUUGUCCUUUUGGGAAAAUGUGGAAAUUUGUCGUUUUAGACU